ensembl:lncRNA
UAGUCCAGAUGACUCCGAAGUCACUGAGGGCCUUAUUCAGGGUAGCUGACUUCAGUUUAAAUGGGAAGGGGAAUGCUCCUUGUGAUCAGAGGCAGGUUAUUUGAAUUGACUUCCUGGUCAUCCUUUUCAGGUUUUGAAAACCAGUUGAAAAUCUGGUUGGCAGGAAGUUAAGAACACUCCAGAUUUUCCCAAUGGGUAUCAUGGUGGCAACACUUCGAGAAGGUCAGCCCAGACUUCACUAUCUCAGGCCACAGUUUCCAGCUCCUCCUGGAGGAUCUCCAUUAGAUAGUUAGAUCCCCACUAAGUUAGAUGUACCUGAUACAACGCGCCCAAAUAUACAGUCAGGUCCAUAAAUAUUUGGACAGCGACACAAUUUGGGUGAUUUUGCUUCUGUACACCUCCACAAUGGAUGAAGCAAUCGAGUUUAGCUUUAAUUCAAGGGGUUUAACAAAAACAUUGCAUUAACCCAUUAAUUACAGCCGUCUUUUACAUAGACCCUCCAUUUCCACAGGUCAAAAGUAAUUCGACAAACUGAUAUAAUCAUAAAUAUUAGGAUUGAUAUUUACUUGGAUACAAACCCUUUGCCAUCAACCCAUGGACAUCAGUAAAUGCUGAGUUUUCUCCCUUGAGAUGCGUUGCCAGGUCUUUACCCUAUCCGCCUUGAGUAGCUGCUUGUUUGUGGGUCUUUCUGCCUUCAGUUUUGUCUUCAGUAAGUGGAAAGCAUGCUCAUUUGUGUCGAGGUCAUCGGACAUUUGAGAACAUUUAACUUCUUCUCAUCUUGAAUGUUUCAUUUCAGACCCAUCGGGGUGGUGUAACGUACAGAGGUAAAGUUACGGAAAUUGUGUGACUGUCCAAAUAAUUAUGAACCCGACUGUGCGUCUAAUCCGGCAGAGGAAUGGCCGCAGAACGAAAAUAAAAACCAGGAUUUUGCGAUGACCAGUUACUGCUGAAAACCCGAGCACUUGUGAAAAAUGUGACAAUACAGAGGUGCUCAGACUCUCGUUGAGAAGAGAAGAGAAGAGAAGAGAGACUUCAGCAAAAUAUUGUUUACUUAUAAAACUCCAGUCCUCAACCCCCAGAUUGGAAAUGUCACGUGUAGGCAUUGUAUUAUUUUUUUUUUUUCAGACAUGACGUAUGGAACUGUCUCCUGCGAUGUCAGUUUCACUUGAAUCCAUGUUGUGGAAUGCUUUCCUCCUGAUGUUUUAAAUUAAAUCUUUCUAGCUCAAUAUGCUUUUGAUGAAAGAAAUCGGCCUGUUGGUCCAAGGACCUUUUAUAUAACCGGUUUCUAAUGAUCUGAUCGAAUAACCCCGUUAAAAGCCAAGGAACCAUUUGAAGAGCCGUUAAGGAAGCCUUUAUGGUGAGUGUGGGAGACAAUUUUGAUCAGCACUCGUAUCUCAGAUCGAUGCUUUUUCAUCAGAUCUAGGAAAGUUGAUCAAAGGGAAGAAACCCAUCUCCAACUGUCUCCACUUUAAACCCAUAAAUUACAUUUCUAGCCUGUGGUUUCUCUCGACAUCUGGACCCGCUGCGGUGUUUACUGUGGCAACUGUUGGCUCUUGUUUUAGAGAAACAUUCAUGACACGAGUUCUGAGCCAUCGCUAUGGACCCAUGACGUGCGUUGGCAGAGGGGAAACCAGGCUCUCCACUUGCUGCCAAAAACCUGUUCCUGGAACUGAGGUCUUAAGCAAAAAGAGCAAGAAGAUGCUGAGCAAAAACGUGCAGCGUGCAGUCUUGGUUUUCGAGCAUGUUAGGAACACCAGUAAGCAUGUCAGUACCCGAAGCUCUUGUCUCUGCAGUACUAGAAGCUCUUGUCCUUGUUUCUGUGUCAUAUUGGCCAUAACAACAGAAACGUAGGAAUAUUUGAGAAAAUAAAAUCGGAAAACGUCAAGUGCAUCCAAAAACCACCCACUGUCACUGUAUUUCCAUUCUUGGAAUUCAGAAGUGAUCCCUCGGUUUCCUUCUUUUCCCUUCUACAGUCUCUUGCAGGUUAUCCACUGUCUGGAAAGAAGCUGAAAUCAGGAAGGCUUUAAGUUCAUGGUCCAGUCCUGGAUCUGAUCUUCACAUACUACCGAGACCGGCUCUGCCGAGCGUACUACCUGGAUCGGUUCUGAUCAGCGUUAUGAUAGUUUUAAUACUCACUAAACACACUGCUGUGUGGCUAUGGGUCAUAAUAGCAUUGUAGAUAAACAUGUCACAGACUUCUGUCUGUUAUUUGUCUGGCUUGUUUGUCUGAUAAGUAGCUUAGUUUUGAGUAAUUUGCUUCAUAUAAAUACUUAACAAGUCGCUUUAAUUUUUUAUUUAUUUAUUUAUUUAUUUUUUUUAGAUAUGUUGGUUUGGAGAAGUUGCUUUAGCGUUUACUGUUAUGUAGAUAAAUAUAAUUAUUCUAUAAUUGAAUAUGUUUCUAUUAUAUUCUAUAAUGAAAAGAAGAUAUAAUCCUCUUUCUGGUAAGUUGCUUGUGACUCAAUAAAAAAAAAUUAUUAGUCUGUUUUUUUUUUAUACAAUGCUUAGGAAAUUUUGUUUUUCUUUUAAUGAACUGCAUGGAACAUUUUGCUUUCUGGAUAAGUUUCUAGGUUUAAUAAGUUUGUUUUGUAAAUUUUUUUGGCAUAGGUUUUUUUUUUUUUUUUCAUAAGUCGCCUGAGAGAGUUUUUUUUUUUCUUGCGAAGGAGCUUUUUCUGAUUCAUUGGUUAAGUUGUUGUUGUUUUUAAGAAGUUGGAUAAGAUGCUAUGCUUUAUUAUAAGCUGCUCUGGAAUUUUUGUAGUUUUUUUUCCUUAGGUAAAAGUUUUUUUCCCUUUCAUACAGUAUAUGGCUUUUUGGAUAUGUUGGUUUUCCUUAAUAAGUCACUUGGGAUAAGUCGUUUGCCUUUUAUAAGUUGUUGGGGAUAAGUUGCUUGUCUUUUAUAAGUUGUUGGGGAUAAGUCGUUUGCAUUUUAUAAGUUCUCAGGAUAAGUCGUUUGCCUUUUAUAAGUUUCUCGGAUAAGUCGUUUGCCUUUUAUAAGUUGUUGGGGAUAAGUUGCUUGUCUUUUAUAAGUUGUUGGGGAUAAGUUGCUUGUCUUUUAUAAGUUGUUGGGGAUAAGUUGCUUGUCUUUUAUAAGUUGUUGGGGAUAAGUCUUUGCCUUUUAUAAGUUGUUGGGGAUAAGUCGCUUGUCUUUUAUAAGUUGUUGGGGAUAAGUCUUUUGCAUUUUAUAAGUUUCUCGGGAUAAGUUGCUUGUCUUUUAUAAGUUGUUGGGGAUAAGUUGUUUGCCUUUUAUAGGUUUUUGGGGAUAAGUCUUUUGCCUUUUAUAAGUUUUGGGGCGAUAAUUGUUUGCCUUUUAUAAGUUGUGGGGGUAAGUCAUUUGCAUUUGAUAAGUUUCUCUGGAUAAGUCGCUUGUCUUUUAUAAGUUGCUGGGGAUAAGUUGUUUGCCCUUUAUAAAUAGUGGGGAUAAGUUGUUUGCCCUUUAUAAAUAGUUGGGGAUAAGUUGUUUACCUUUUAUACAUUGCUCAGAUAAGUUUGGUUUUCUUCGAUAAGUUGCCUGUGAUUAGUUGUUUUUCUUUGAUAUGCUGCUUGGGAUAUAUUGGUUUUCUUUGAGGGUUUUUGGGCUAAACUGUUUUUUUCCUCCUAAGUUUCUUGAGAUAUUUUUUUUUGCUCAGGAUAAGUUGGGAUUAUUAUUUUUUUUAAUGAAUUGCCUGGGAUGUUUUUCUUUAUAGUCUACUUAGGAUAAAUUGUCUUUAACAACUUUCUUGAGAUAAGCUUUUAACAAGUUGCUUACGGUUUUUUGAUGUUACUUAAGAUAAAGAGUUUUUACUGCAUUAGUUACUUGGGAUAAGUUGCUUGUUCGGAUCUGAUGCUCUGUCUAAUAUGUUGUGUUUAAUUUGACAUGUUGCCUUUUUGGAAAAGUUGAUAUUUUUGGUAAACUUAAUGAUCCGCUAGCGUGAUUGGUGCUUCUCAAAUUUUUUGGCUGUAGGUACGCAGGGGAGAGUUUGGAACUUUAAAAAAAACUUUCCAUUUGCUUGGGAGCUCCAUCAAAUAUGGACAAAUAUUUGAGCCUCUUUAAAUGUUACACAGGUGGAACGAUCAGAAAAUUCUGUUAUUAUAGUUUAUAGAGUUACAAAUCAUUUGAACUUGCUGGAACGUGCUACUGAUGAUUCGCCUGACUUUUUCCCUGUUGAUCUUUUUGCCUUUAAGACUUGGAUUUCCUCCACCCUGCUCCGAGUGCUGAAAACUGCACCGUGCUCCCACUCGACAAAACUCCUGAACUCUGCGAAACUUAAAGAACUCCCUGUGUCUGACCUGCGGGUCUUUUCACCGCGGAUGAUGGCUGUGUUUAUGUCUGAAAGCAGCAGCGAGCGGCUCUGAGGUCACGACGCUGUUUUUAGCCUCAGCUGAGGUGAGACGUUAGGCAGAAUAACUUAAUAUUUACAAUUUAUUUGCUUUAAAUGCAUCUUAUAGAAACAACAUGGAGAUGUGACCGCAUAAAUAUGUUCGUGCAGCUGCCAGCAUGAACAGGGUUUUGAAAGUUCCCUGCCCUUCACUCGACCUUUAACUCCAUGUAAAAAUAACAGGGGCUUUAAAAAAAAAAAAAAUCCCUUGAAUGUUUGAUUUAUUUGAGAAGUAUGAAAAUGUCAGCAAUAGGAAAAGGACACAGUGUUAAAACUGGGAUUAUUUUUGGCUUCUUUUGGUUUCCUCUAAACCUUUAAAUCUAACAGAGCUACAAGGUCGAUCCAGAUAUUAGUCCAAUUAUCAAUGCAUAUACUAAAUAAACGUUUAGAACCCUUAAGCGUCGAUACUCUGAUUCAACCAUUACAGCUUCUACAGCGCAUGUAGAACUGUUAGCUCGAUAGUUAAGGCGUUGGUCUACUGACCAGCAGGUCGUGAGUUCAGAUCCCAGCUCCUCCAAGCUGUCACUGUUUGGCCCUUGAGCAAGGCCCUCAACAUCUCAGAUGUGUAAGUGAGAUAAAUGUCAUUCGCUCUGGAUAAGGGCGUCUACCAAAUGCCGUAAAAAAUCCGAAAAGGUUUCACGUAUAACCCUUUUAAGAGGAUAAGGACUCGAUUAUUCAGUGAAUUUUCAAAGAACACCUGAAGAAUCGUAUUUAUUUAUUUAUUUAUUUAUUUAUUUAUGUAUUUAUUUAUUAAUUUUUUUACACAUGUACAAAGUACUAAGAACUAAAUAAACAACCUGGCAGGUUCUAGGUCUUACGAAGAAAAUAAAGAGCGAUAAUUUGGAGUUUGUAACACCACACACACACACACACACUUACCCAGUUAACACCCACACUCCUAGAAGUAAGGGUUCUUUAAGGGAUCUUUAAGGGUCUGAUGGAUUUUUCCGAGCUUCUGCUCGUGACUCUUUCUGGUUGGAAAACAUUUUGCUUUAUGGUACUGCUCAGAACAUUUAAGGUUUCGAAUGUGUUUAAGAGUGUGUAUAAAACUUAAAAGUAAUACACCACUAGAGCUGGGCAAUGUGACAAUACGAUAAUUAACGAUGAUGUUUAUUUGAGAUGUUGCAGGUAUGAUUUUUCUACAUUUUUUAAAACAGCAAUAACAAUAAUUUCGAGUAGAAACAGCUUAUCACCCACCCCUGUACAUCACUUAUUACUUCAAACCAUUACUGCCUUUUCUGCAACAUAGACCUUUAAAAAUACACCCAAGUGGAAAAGUACUCUCCUGCACGAAGCCAUGCUUUCGUUUUUGCGGCUUUUCCUCUUGGGGGUCUCAGUAUGUGAUCAGGUGUGCAGGAGGCCUCACUCCGCUCACGUCGCCAUCAUGGUGCUGCCAAGGUAUGUCCUGUUCCCCCGGGUUCCCCAUCCAUCUCUCAGCUCCUGGAGCCAGCACACAUGUGUGUGAGUGUGAGUGUGUGUUCAUAAAGGCACAUCUAAGAAGUCUUACAACCUCGGACUGAAAACGGCUGGGAAAAGGCAGCCGACGCUGAAUGGUGUAGCUCAGAGUUCUACAACUGUGCGUGAGAUGAAAAUUAAAAAAAAAAAAAAAAAAAAUCCUACUCCUGCCCGCUUCUUAAGAAAUUCCUCACGCAGUCCUUUAAAGCGAAAUAAAAUUCUUGCACCGUGGGUUACGGGAGUUCGACGUACGCAGAACGUUGUCAUUUUCUUUAAUCGCAGGUCUAUCGUCAUAUAAUUUGAUGUGGAGAACACUUUAUUGCACAGUUUUUCUAUGUAACAAGUAAUAAUCAUAUCUAAUCAUAAUCCAUUCUAAUUAAUCCACCGCUAAUUAGGCACUUCAAAAUCACGGGAUCAAACCAAACAAAGACGUAAGAUGUGCAUCAUAAAAGUCAUGUGACUUUGCCUCAACCAAUCAUAGGCUGCGGAAAAGUAAAAAUGCCGGAGAUUAAGACGCGCCAGUUUCCCCAGAUAGUGACGAUUUUGUUCUCUUGAAUCAUUUGUUUUAUUCGCAAACGAUUUAUACGAUAUUUCAGCUUUUCACACUUUUUUGCCAGGGAAAUUCGCAACUUGGAUGGAAACAUAGCUAUUGUAAUGCGUUACAAUAGUUAUUAGUGAGGCCAGCAGGGGGCGCUCACCCUGUGGUCUGUGUGGGUCCUAAUGCCCCAGUAUAGUGACGGGGACACUAUACUGUAAAAACAGCACCGUCUUUCAGAUGAGACGUUAAACCGAGGUCCUGACUCUCUGUCUCUGUUUUAAUGACUCUCUGUCGUUAAAAAUCCCAGGACACUUAUUGUAAAAGAGUCGGGGUAGAACCCCGGCGUCCUGGCGAAAUUCCCCCAUUGGUCCUUCUCUAUCAUGGCCACCUAAUAAUCUCCAUCUCUGAAUUGGCUACAUCUCUCUCUGCUCUCCAUUAAUAGCCUACUAGUGCAAACUAGUGGUUGUUGAGGAGACCCCUCCCCCUUCAUACUAUGUAAAGCGCUUUGAGUGUCUAGAAAAAAUUUCCAUAUAAAUGUAACUAACUAACUAUAUUAUAUCAUGUGGAACAAGUCUCAGGAGUGAGUUGCACCGGUUAAACGGCGUAAUUUAGCUGUUGGUUCGUGCAGUUAGCUACAGUUUCACAAUGAGGCGUGAGCAAUUACGUGGGCUUACCUGUGUUGGGACGCCAAAGGGGCAAUAAACGGCUCGGAAUACGUCUUGUCCUUUCAUAAAUACGCAGAUGACUCCACAUGUAGACAUUCAUCACGCUGUGUGAAGCAUAAACAACGUGUCACUAAAGCCUGUGUUAUUCUUACUUUGAACUACAUUCGCAUCUAGGCAAGACGGCUGCCGCGUGUAUCCUGCAUCACUCGGGCAUGUGUUCAGAAGUUAACGCUGACCGGCUACACGGUGCAUUACCGAUGUAAAUGUCGAGGGAGCUGCAGUAGCUGUAGAUGUGACGUCACAUCAGCACCGGCGAGAUUUGUUCAAUAGCCUAGUGUACCGUCUCCGUCGGUCAUGCUGCCGCCGUUUCCACCUACUUCACAAGAUAAACAAUAAAGUCGCCCUCCACGUGUCUGCUGCCGACAUGCAAAAUGACAGGAAGUAGCGGUCGCGGCCGCACGAGUCGGUCACGCCACAACGUGACACGUAACUAUGUCCAAGCGAUGCGUAAAAAAUAUUAAAUAGGCGUUUAUACUUCCUCAAACUGUUGUAUGAAAACAUUCGAAAUAGGCCUUGAUCAUGCCUCAAAGUGACACUUAAAAACAUUUCAAGUUUAUAUCGAUAUAUCAUAUAUGCUGGGGUAAAACGACACAUCGCAGCAUAUUAUAUAGGACUGAAUCAUGCCUUAAGGCUACGACAUGCUAAAUAGGUGCAGAUAGAAGCCUCAAAGUGAUACUGAAAAUAUGUGUCAAAAAAGUCUUAGUCAGGUCACAAUGUGUGAAAUGGGAUCAAACCUGAAGGCCACCCACAUCGGAUGCAGUUGUAGUGAUGGAGGACUGCAUCUAUGCGUUUAUCACUAGGAUAAAUGUCGGAUUGUGACAUUGUUAAAAGAGUAAAUAAGUUAGAGGAUGGACGCACAUUCCUGCCACACCAAACACAGCUGCUCCUGUGUCCUUGCCUAACCCUCCUCGUUUUGUAAUGUAGCUAUAGUAUGUCAUGACCCAAAAUUCCUCUGGACGAUCACCCGAGGCAGGACGACGACCAGAUUCUGAUCGUCAUCCCGGGACGGAGUACGAAGAGGACGCCCUGAGACUGCUUUAAUAACACAACAGACUUUUUGUGAUUGUGAAAUCUUGUGAUUGUGGAUUGUGAAAUUCAGACGUUUGGGGAUUUGAACCGAGACGCGCCCCUGGAUGGAGCAGAAUAACAGUGUAAAUAGGACACCGAUGUUAAAUUAUCUGACAAACGAACGAAAACGGACCUGGGACGCCGGAUCAGGCGGAUAACUUUCACAGCGUGCAGCGGAAUUUUCCAUUGAAAUGAUACAAUCGACGGAGCUCGUUUUUAACCACAGCGAUCGAAUACAAAAGCGUUUAGCGAGCAAGAGCAAGAGUUACUGUUAGCACGCUAAAGCUGAUUAUGUUCCUUUGACAGCACAUCCUGAAGUGUUUUAUAUAUCCUCUUAUAUACCAAAGCAGUUUGCCAACAGUUAAAAUUUCUUAUCUAUUAAAGAGACACAUAAUACUUUUUAUCCAUUUACAGUUACAUUUAAUCUUGUAGAACGUCCAAGAAACAUUAUAACGAUACAUCGGCUGUAAUUAGACUUGGACCAUCCUAUGCUAAGUAGAAUAUUUACUGAGCAGUUUUUCUCCUGCGUUUUCGAUCUCUGGCGAGCGUUUCGGCGUCGCCCCGUGCGAUAUGCGACCUUCAGAACUUGUAUGAAAGUGCUUCUCCAGGUUUUCCUGGGACUUCCUCGAUGCCGUUUAGAUCCCUCUCACUGGCGCCAUCUCACUGCGGUCUUUGGGAUCCGUCUGUUCUCCGCGUGAAGGACGUGGCCGGCCAGUCGGAGUCUACUUCGUAUGACGACGUUGUGGAGUUCGCAUGCGCCACUUCUUCGGAGCACCUCUUCGUCAGUGAUAUUGGUCGUAGUAUCGGAUCUUUAGCAUGCAGCGUAGGCACCUCUGCUGGAAGAUAUCGAGAUUCUUAUUGAUACUCGUUGAUGCCUUCCAAGUCUCGCUGGCGUGGAUGGCUGUAGGGAUCACGAUGGAGGUGAACGGGUGGAGCUUGAUCUUCAGGGAGAUGGAUGGUGAGGACCCUUUCCCUCAGCAUCUUCUCUUUAUUCUCUUACUUGAAGUCAACGAGAUGAAAAAACGUAAGGACUCGAGGACAUUCCAGUUUUAUUCCAGAAGCUACUCGGAAAGAUUCAGUGCUAAUUUGAAUUCUUUUGAGCUUUUCUGAAAACUUUGGAAGGUCCACUGUGAUCAAACGCCCCCUCCAGACACACACACACACACACACACACACACACACCCACCCAAAUCCAAACAAACAACAAAGAGGCAACUGUUAAAUGCUUCUUGGCUAAUUCCUGCUUCUUUCAUAGAUAAUUCAAUAUGUGUACAAGAAGUUACAUUACAAGGACGCUCUAUUUAGCUCCGCCCAUCUCAGACCAGUCAAGGGAAAACACCAGAAAUUGAAGGCCUUGAUAACAGAAGAAUAAUGAAGCUAAUUAUAACACGAAGUGCACAGGAUUUUUUUUUAAAACGACUGCUGUUGAAGCGUCUUUAAACUCUUUCAUUUGUUUGCUUUUCCUCGGCACCAGGGACGUACCAGGACGGACGCCAACUCCCACAUGGUUUCCCUCGUCUCCUGGUCGGUAAACUGUCGCCUCCUCCCAGAUUGGGUUACUCACCACUCAGCACUGUGAUGUCAUUACCAGACUACGAGCCUUUAAUUCUUUGUGUUUAUGGGAUCCUGUGUAUAUAUAUAAAUAUAUAUAAAAACCUAAACUAUACUCUCGUCUUUAAUUAAAGAAUUAGGACUGUCUGCUCGGCCGUGCUGGUUAGAUGGUAUUUUUAGGUACGGCCACAUACGUAACACCACUAAAUCGCUGAAAUAAUAUUUAAGAACGUUAAACCGAGUUUUGGUUUUGAAUCGAUUUAACAAUAAUAACAAAGUAAAAGGACCCGUUCAUGUUUGCACGUCUCCUUCGUUCUCAGACGGCUGCGAAGAUGAAUUAUGUUCGAUAGACGUGAGACGCAUUUGACUUCGGGGAAAAUGAUCCGAAAAUGCUCAAUAAGGUCCAGAAAUGAGCCAAAAACCAUUCCUAUUUGCUAUAAAUUUUUUAAAUUAAAUCGGUGUGUCGUGUGUGAGAGUGUCCCGAAAGGAAAAAGAAAGCCGUGAUAUUAACGUCUGCUUAAAUCAUUUGUUCUUUGUCUUUUACGCGAAGCAUACAGCUGUAUCCAUUACUGGAUAGAAAGCAUACCUAACAAUCGCUCCUUCUCUUUACCUCCCUCUCCCUCUCUCCUUCUGUCGAGCUACACAUGAUAUUAUGGAGAUGGCAGUGAUCCUGACCCUUUCUGCUCUCCGGACCUGCCUGAUCCAUCCUGAUGCCCUACUCCUGGAUGGAGCUCUCAUCGGCUGGAGGGUACAGCAUGGAGAUCGCCGAGGACGGUACCGCUUGAAGUAGCAUGAUGACUAUCCCUUCCGAGUCCGGUUCCUCUCAAGGUUUCCUCCUCGUAUCAUCUCAGGGAGUCUUUCCUUUCCGCAGUUGCCAGCGACUCGCUAAACGAUCGAGGUCGUUUGAACCCCGACCCUCGCAGAAUCGAUCGACCGUGCAGCUCGGUUUUACUCUUCACCUUGAUACAGGAUCAAAGACACGCACGUUCCUCCUCGACCUACUACACUAACAUGCAGAUUCACUUAUAGAUCCAGCAAUGUUGGAUCGUAACAACAUUCAGUAGCACACCUCAUGACGAACAAACCGCAACGAAAGAGUUCUACAGACACUCGUCCGAGCCAUACGCUUUCAAAGCUUGCGAAUACGCUUCAUUCGAAAGAAAUGGCUAGAAGUGACUUUUCAUUUCGAUCAUAAACGGGCGGAACGUCCUCCGCGAAGUGAGGAUUUAUUAUCAAACGGAUUGUACGUUCAUGCUGUGAGUUCACAGCUACUUCUUUCCACAUACAAAGGAAUUAAAAGUGAAUUUUUUUUCCCUCUCUCUUUUAAAACCGAUUUACUAGCAUAGAUAAAGCAAGCUGCUGUAGCUAGCAUUGUUUCACGGUGUUCGGAAUCAGCGAUUAUGAUGGCGUUAUUCAACCAGUUAAUCUUCUGGGUAAAAUAAAUAAAUAAAUAAAUAGAAACCACCCAGAUCUCUGUAGCUGCAAAUUGAAAUCCGUCAAGUUGCUCAAAUCGAUCAACGUUAAAUGAAAAUUUUUUUUAAUUUUAAAGCGUUUUUUUUUUUUUUCUCCUCUCCGGCAAAGAGACUUAUACGUUCGGCCGAGAUGACGCGGACAAAUGAAAUGUUCAGGAAAUGCGUUUGUCUUUGCCGUCGUCUUCUAAUCCCUACUCUGGGUUUUAUCAGACUUGAGGGAGGGAAUGGAUUCAGUGAUAAACGAUAAACACAGACGAGUGAGUAACCGCGGGAGAGCACAAAGUGCCUCGAAGCGAACGAUCGUCUUUACUCCGCAGAACCGGCGUUUCUGAGUAAUCGUCUGCGGUCAGAUUCCCGAUACUUAACACGACGAUACUGUACAUGUUAGUGGACUAUUCGAAAGCGAGGUAGCUGAAGUGUCUAAGAGCUUAUGUACAUAUACACGGAUUGGAUUCUGCUUGGAUUUCAACCGAGUAGGUUUCCACUUGUAGUCAAUUCUGAUUGCUGUAUCUAUGUUUAACAUGCAAAUCAGCUCAUUAACAUUCGCCCGUCUUGUUUUUAUGGUUUCAUUUGGUUUCUGUCGAACAUUUUGGCUUGAGGAAUCAAAACGCACCAACCUCGAUACUGUAGGAGCAUGUCAUGAUGUUAUGGUAUGAUGUUAGGACGUAAGACGGUGGGAGAAGUUGCCGGAUGUGGCUUUGAGAGCAUAACAAAAGAACGAUUAAAGAACAUGACAUACUUUUUAUGCAUUUAAUAUGUAAUGUAAUGUUGUGGAACAUUCGUGAAAGAAGUUAUAGCAGCUAUAAACAGCUGUUCCUUCAGCCCCUCGUCGUUCUGUUCAGAGUCAAGUCUCAGUCAGCAGUAAUUAUGCUACUUGGGACGCAAACGCACGGGUCGAAGUUUCUACAUCCGAGACGGAAGGAAUGCUUUAGACGUCCCGGUGCUGAGGCGCGCUGUGGGUCAGUGAGGGCGAAGGCGAGGCUGAAAGACCUGGUCUGUGCUACCUGCGGCCGUGCGGUUCCCCUGAACAGCCCCCACACCUCCCCUCAAAUCCAUAACCCCUGGAGGGCAUGAGCAUGGAAAAUCCCAGAGCGCCCGAGCAGAGGAGGAGAAAGAUCCAGAGGCAGGUAGGCAGAUGUUGAGCUUCUGAUCCGCGCUCGGGUCAGAACGUUGAAAAAUGGCCCGUCAGCCUUUCAGGAAGUUCUGUUCAGUAUUGUAGAACUGGAUGACUCUUUCCUGGAACUGAAUGAUUCAGGGAUGAUUCAGAGAAAUACACGCAAUAAAUUAUUUCUGCAGGACAAGAGGAAAAAAAAACAACAACCCCAGAACGAUUCACUGUUUUUGGAUUCAUUCGUUGGAGCUUGUUAAAAUUUCCAAAGAACGAACACACACACACACACACACACACACACACACACACACACACACACACACACACACACAGAGGUUGGAGAACGUGUGUCUCUGGAGUUAUAUUUCUAUAACUGAUGAACUAAUCAUUCUUUCUUGAAUGCAAUAAUGAGAAAUUUAUGAGUCAUAAAUCCAUAAUCAGAUUUUUAAAAAUGGCUAACAUUUUCAACAAAGCCAUGUGGAUUCUGAAUAAACUACGAAUACAUUCCCAACUUUUUAUAAUGCAUUCAUGAAGAAUUAUACACAUUGUUCUUGUAUGAGUAAUUAGAUAGAAAAUGCAUGAGAGUAUAGAGCAAUGUUUAUACUGCAUUAUGAAUUACAAAAUGCAGAAAAUGUGUGGAGUCUGCUGUCUGACAUUGUUG